rnacentral:rRNA from 1 species
UACGUAGGGUGCAAGCGUUGUCCGGAAUUAUUGGGCGUAAAGAGCUCGUAGGCGGUUUGUCGCGUCGGCUGUGAAAACUCGGGGCUCAACCCCGAGCCUGCAGUCGAUACGGGCAAACUAGAGUGUGGUAGGGGAGACUGGAAUUCCUGGUGUAGCGGUGAAAUGCGCAGAUAUCAGGAGGAACACCGGUGGCGAAGGCGGGUCUCUGGGCCGAUACUGACACUGAGGAGCGAAAGCGUGGGGAGCGAACAGG